GUCAUGUUUUAUCCACUGCUGCAUUGUAGGGUCUAGACCUGUGGCCAGCAUUUACUGGAAACUCAGUAUAUGCUGACAGAAUUAAUAAGUUACAAAUGAAACCCAGGAGCUAAGUGUGUAGGUGUUGUUGAGUAGAAGGCUCAAGUGGAUUAACUACUUCUGAGCAUUAGAGACUGAGAUGAAUCCUCCCGAAGAAAUCUCAUCACAGAUGGUUCAGAGCCACGCUGAUUAGAAUGCUUACUGUUCCAGCACUAGGACACGUUUAGAGACUGAAGCCAAGUGGCUCAUUCCAGCCAACUGAUGUCUGCUGCCAAGGCUGGUAAGAGGCAAUGUACGUUCUCCUCUCCUGGGUCAAUGACCUUGAAGGUAUUGGGAUCUUGUUGACAUAGGUACAACUAGGAAAAGGGAUGUUCUAUCCCUAUUGGACUAUGUGUGAGUGUAAAAUAAACCAUUGUGAUGU